rnacentral:sRNA from 1 species
ACAGGUGGUAUGAAUACAACAUAAUCUUGCGGUCGUAUAGUAAUUGUAUUAUGCACCCCAUCAGGUG